GAUGAACGCUGGCGGCGUGCCUAAUACAUGCAAGUCGAGCGAACGGACGAGAAGCUUGCUUUUCCGAUGUUAGCGGCGGACGGGUGAGUAACACGUGGAUAACCUACCUAUAAGACUGGGAUAACUUCGGGAAACCGGAGCUAAUACCGGAUAAUAUUUUGAACCGCAUGGUUCAAAAGUGAAAGACGGUCUUGCUGUCACUUAUAGAUGGAUCCGCGCUGCAUUAGCUAGUUGGUAAGGUAACGGCUUACCAAGGCAACGAUGCAUAGCCGACCUGAGAGGGUGAUCGGCCACACUGGAACUGAGACACGGUCCAGACUCCUACGGGAGGCAGCAGUAGGGAAUCUUCCGCAAUGGGCGAAAGCCUGACGGAGCAACGCCGCGUGAGUGAUGAAGGUCUUCGGAUCGUAAAACUCUGUUAUUAGGGAAGAACAUAUGUGUAAGUAACUGUGCACAUCUUGACGGUACCUAAUCAGAAAGCCACGGCUAACUACGUGCCAGCAGCCGCGGUAAUACGUAGGUGGCAAGCGUUAUCCGGAAUUAUUGGGCGUAAAGCGCGCGUAGGCGGUUUUUUAGUCUGAUGUGAAAGCCCACGGCUCAACCGUGGAGGGUCAUUGGAAACUGGAAAACUUGAGUGCAGAAGAGGAAAGUGGAAUUCCAUGUGUAGCGGUGAAAUGCGCAGAGAUGUGGAGGAACACCAGUGGCGAAGGCGACUUUCUGGUCUGUAACUGACGCUGACGUGCGAAAGCGUGGGGAUCAAACAGGAUUAGAUACCCUGGUAGUCCACGCCGUAAACGAUGAGUGCUAAGUGUUAGGGGGUUUCCGCCCCUUAGUGCUGCAGCUAACGCAUUAAGCACUCCGCCUGGGGAGUACGACCGCAAGGUUGAAACUCAAAGGAAUUGACGGGGGCCCGCACAAGCGGUGGAGCAUGUGGUUUAAUUCGAAGCAACGCGAAGAACCUUACCAAAUCUUGACAUCCUUUGACAACUCUAGAGAUAGAGCCUUCCCCUUCGGGGGACAAAGUGACAGGUGGUGCAUGGUUGUCGUCAGCUCGUGUCGUGAGAUGUUGGGUUAAGUCCCGCAACGAGCGCAACCCUUAAGCUUAGUUGCCAUCAUUAAGUUGGGCACUCUAAGUUGACUGCCGGUGACAAACCGGAGGAAGGUGGGGAUGACGUCAAAUCAUCAUGCCCCUUAUGAUUUGGGCUACACACGUGCUACAAUGGACAAUACAAAGGGCAGCGAAACCGCGAGGUCAAGCAAAUCCCAUAAAGUUGUUCUCAGUUCGGAUUGUAGUCUGCAACUCGACUACAUGAAGCUGGAAUCGCUAGUAAUCGUAGAUCAGCAUGCUACGGUGAAUACGUUCCCGGGUCU
rnacentral:rRNA from 1 species